CCAACGGCUCUUUUAAGAGCCACCCAAGUUUUCCCUAAAGAAGCUG
rfam:Apaloderma vittatum contig61732, whole genome shotgun sequence.